AUAUCAAUAAGCGGAGGAAAAGAAACCAACAGGGAUUACCUCAGUAACGGCGAGUGAAGCGGUAAAAGCUCAAAUUUGAAAUCUGGCUCUUUUAGAGUCCGAAUUGUAAUUUGUAGAAGAUGCUUCGGGUGUGGUUCCGGUCUAAGUUCCUUGGAACAGGACGUCAUAGAGGGUGAGAAUCCCGUAUGUGACUGGAUACCUAUGCUCAUGUGAAGCUCUUUCGACGAGUCGAGUUGUUUGGGAAUGCAGCUCAAAAUGGGAGGUAUAUUUCUUCUAAAGCUAAAUAUUGGCCAGAGACCGAUAGCGCACAAGUAGAGUGAUCGAAAGAUGAAAAGCACUUUGGAAAGAGAGUUAAACAGUACGUGAAAUUGUUGAAAGGGAAGCGCUUGCAAUCAGACUUGCACUUGGUGUUCAUCAGGGUCUCGUACCCUGUGUACUUCAUCAAGUUCAGGCCAGCAUCAGUUUGAGUGGUUAGAUAAAGGCUUAGAGAAUGUGGCCCUCUUCGGGGGGUGUUAUAGCUCUAGGUGCAAUGUAGCCUACUUGGACUGAGGACCGCGCUUCGGCUAGGAUGC
rnacentral:rRNA from 1 species